rnacentral:misc_RNA from 1 species
AAGUCGUAACAAGGUUUCCAUUAACGUAUCCACGUUAAACCAACCGUGCACUUUCAAUUCUGCGUUGUUUUUGAGCUCGAGGUCAGUUCGCUUUCCAAGAGUUCGAAGACGAUUCGUUUCGGCUCGACACGUGUCGUGAAGUUGGUGCUUCCACAGGCGAUGGAUGACACAUCUGACGAGUGAAACUGGAAGGGUACGUAACUCGACAGUUUCGACGUGGGGCUGGAAAACUCGAUUUAUUUCAAAGGACGAUCCGUUCUGGGCCGGAUCGAAAUUUGUGGUAAGGAGAGGGUUCUGGAAACUCUGCGGGGUAACUGUCUUGAGUUGCACAUCCAUUUCAAACCCCUUUAAAAAAUUGACAUCCGAGGUAAAACCGAGGCUCGAGGAACCGAACAACUGUGAACAAUGGAUAUCUUGGUUGUC